UCACACUCAAAUCAAUUUUGGUAACAUAUCCAGUAUUUAUAUGGUCUUGAGGUAAUAAAAUUCAACAUAAACUCUCACACUCAAAGCCGCUUGAUUGCUCUAAAGAAGACUCGCCAUUAAUGGAAGCCAAAGAAUUUAUCGGGCUCUUUGAUUCCUGCUGGUUUGAGAUGGAAAUUCUCAAGAAUCAAUCACGUUUAUUGAAAUCAUCAGAUGCUGAUGCCAACCCAGUUCACCAAAAUCAGGAAGAAGCAUCAAAACCAGAGCUUUACAGAGUGCCAACGAUUAUUUCAAGGUCCAUGAGUGAUCAGUUGUGGCCCAAAGCAAGCUUCGGCUCUGGUUUAUCUCUCUCUCCGGACUCAGUCCUCCCCACGUCAAAGCUCCAAACAAUCCUUUCAGACAUGGAGAUAGAAGAAGAGGGAAUACAAACACAAAGACCAUAUGUACAAGAAUCGCAUACGAGGAAGACGAGAAGCAGGAGACCAGAGAAGAAAACGUUGAGCAAGAGUCUAUCAGAAUUGGAAUUUGAAGAGCUGAAAGGGUUUAUGGAUUUGGGAUUUGUGUUUUCUGAGGAAGACAAGGAUUCAAGCUUAGUUUCAAUAAUUCCAGGGUUGCAAAGACUUGGAAAAAAAGAUAGCGAAGAAGAGAGUGGCGGUGUUGAUGAAGCCGCAGUUUCAAGGCCAUAUCUUUCAGAAGCAUGGCAUGGUUUGGAGAGGAGAAAGAAAGAGGAUUCCCUGAUAAAUUGGAGAUUGCCUGCUUUGAGGAAUGAGAUGGACAUGAAAGAUAAUCUUAGAUGGUGGGCUCAUACUGUUGCAUCUACUCUUAGAUUAACAUAAGUUUUCAGAUUCUGAUCUUCCUCUUCUUGUUACUCAGAUCUUAGUUAUCAUUUUUUUUUCCGUUUCAGUUGUUUUCGGGUUAAUUCAUGGCUGAUAUGUGAUGUAAUUGACCUGUUUCUACAGAAAUAUUUUGAGCAUUAGUUUGAAAAGUUUAAUACGAAAAGAAAAGCAGAAGAUUAUUCAUUUAGGUUUGGUUUGAUGACGAGAUAUUCUUUUUAUUUAUUUAUUUAUUCUAAUUGCACUUUUGCAGGAAGAUAUUACACUUGUUCAACUGUCUUGGAUGGUUUGGUUUCAGUGAUUCACUCGGUGAUUAGACCCCGAUGGUUUGCUUUCAGUGAUUUUUUUUUUUUUUUAACAAUGCUUUAUAGAAUUUUACAAGGCUACAACCACCAGGCAGGGGUUGAGUUCACCAGGCAGGGGUUGAGUUUUAGGGAUAUUACAGAUGCGUCUGUUUGAAAAAAAAUAUAUUUAGAAUAAUUUUUUUAUAUUAAAAAAUAUUUUUUAUUCAUUAAAUUUUAUUUUCAUCACUUAACGGUUAAAAUUAAUGGAGAGACUAACUAGUAGACUUUUUAAAAAUUGAAGAAUAUAUUAAUACAUUUAUUUUUAAAAUUGAGAGAUUAACUAAUGAAUUUUUCUAUAUUAUAGAGACCAAAUAAUUUUUUUUUAUUAUAAUAUCAUAUAUUUUGUAAAAAUAAUCUAUUAUUCAUUUUUAUGCGUAACUAUUUAUAAAAUAUUUAUAUUUAUAUUUUAUUAUUAAAUAUCAUAUUUCAGAAAAAUAUUUUACUACUUAUUUUUGUAUAUAAAUUUAUUUUAUACAAACAGUUUUAAAAAAAGAUUUUUCGACUUUUAACCUCUCUUUUUUGUUAUAUUAUCUUAGUCAAACGUUAUUGUGUAAAACUUCUGACGAAAUCUAAUUAGUCUUUUAUCAUAUUGGUAUCAUAACGAAGUUCGUCCAUGGCAGACAAUCAAGAGGCGCGACUUGCUGCAAUUGUGGCAUUUUUGACAGAAUUGAAGGAGAUAAUCGGACAGUUAGCCCUGCAAUAGGGAAUCUACCAACCCAACGCCGUCGAACGCCCCAGCCAGUUUCAAAUUUUGUGGUCUCCAAUCCUGUGCUUGCAAAUCCCUAACAGAAUUAUCAGGAAGGUUACAAGAUAAAGAUAGACCUUCAAAAUUUUUCUGGUUCGUUGGAUGUAGAAUCUGUUCUUGAUUGGUUGGUGGAGGUUGACCGUUUCUUUAAAGUUAUGAACGUGGAAGAGGAUCGAAAGGUUUCGAUUCUGGCCUAUAAAUUAAAAGGGAGUGCAGCAGCCUGGUAGAAUUCGGUUCAAAACGAACGCUAUCGGAGGAGGCUAGAACCCAUACGAAACUGGGUGUUGAUGAAGUAGAUGAUUAAAAUAGCGAUUCUUGCCUAGUGAUCAUGCUCAGGUUUUGUAUAGCCGGUAUCAUGACUGUGUACAAGGGAAUCGAAGGGUGGAUGAAUAUACCGAGGAGUUUUUGAGAUUGCAGGCGAGAUGUGAAAACUGUGAGAAUGAAGCCUAAUAGGUUGCUCAUUAUUAGAGGGACCUGAAUCACGAAAUUCGCUGUAUGAUGGGAGUAGCUGCGAUUUUUACUUUGGUAGAUGCCAUUGAGAUGGCAAAAAGGACAGAAGAGCCUGUUGAUUUGCAGCCACGACAGCAGUAUAACCGAAAUUUUAAUUACAAAAAUUUUGAUUCGACAGGGAUGCAGUAAUAUAGAGGCAAUUACGACGGGCAACCUCUUAAGGUUGUAAAUUCUAGCAAUCCUCAGAAUAUUACGGAAGAAAGGUGAGACAGCAAGGGAAAAGUAGUUGCCACUACAGCAGACAAAGGAGACAAAACCAAUCCUUAUCAAAAGUCAACGGGAGACAUAUAUUACCACUGCAGGCAACCUGGUCAUCGAUCGAACAAUUGUCCAGAACGUAGAAGAGUUAAUAAUGAUCGCUGACAAGUUAAUAUGGUUGACCAAGUGGCUGAAUCUGAGGAGAAAGUGGAUGACGAUAACGGAUCUAUUGGUAGUUCUGAAGAUGUAGAGGUCUAGUGAAGAAAAUCUUAUGCUCAAAAAAACAGGAGGAUGAGACGCAAAGGAGGAAGAUUUUUCAUGCAAAGUGUCGAGUUAGAGAAGCAAUUUAUAGGCUAAUUAUAGAUAGCUGCAGUUGCGAGAAUCUGAUAGCUAAUCAAUUGGUGGAGAAAUUGCAGUUACCUACUCAGCCGCACCCUUCAUCAUUCAAAGUUGGAUGGAUUAAGAAAGGUCCGAAAAAUGAGGUCAACAGAAUCUGCAGUGUGUCUAUCUCGAUCGGUAAAUCUUACACUGAACUUGUUAAUUGUGAUGUUGUGGAUAUGGAUUACUGUGAAAUUUUACUAGGUCGCCCUUGGCAGUUUUAUAUUGAUGCUUUGCAUAAGGAGAAGGAGAAUUCAUACAUGUUCACAUGGAAUCAAAAGAAAAUUACUAUUUUGCCUUCCGGUUCUACGAAACAUUCUAAAGUGGAAGGGAAGAAUGUUGUUGCUGUUUCCACGGGAGUGCAAAGACUAUCAGGCGCAGUUGAGAAAUCUGGAGACAUACUGGCUUUAUUGGUGAGCAAUAGGCACAACGGAGGAUGCACCAUCUUUACUACCAUCCCUCAAAGAACUGUUGAAGGAGUUUCCUAGGAUAGUGGAGGAAUCCUCCAAGCUCCCACCUUUGCGGGAUAUCCAACAUCAGAUUGAUCUCAUUCCUAGAUCAAAAUUAUCGAAUCUGCUUCAUUACAAAAUGAGUCCAAAGAAGAGUGAGAUCCUCCAAGAACAGGUUGAAGAAUUAUUGAAGAAGGGGCAUAUUCGGAAGAGCAUUAGCCCCUACGGAGUACCUGCCCUAUUAGUUCCAAAGAAAGAUGGGACUUGGAGAAUGUGCGUGAAUAGUAGGGCCAUCAACAAAAUUACAGUUCAGUAUCGAUUUCUGAUUCCACGAUUGGAUGACAUGCUAGAUCAGCUAUCCAGGUCUAAAGUCUUCUCUAAGAUCAACCUUGAAAGCGGUUAUCACCAAGUUCGGAUUAAGGAGGGAGAUGAAUGGAAGACAGCCUUCAAGACUAAGGAAGGCUUGUACGAGUGUCUGGUUAUGCCCUUUGGUUUCAUGAAUGCACCUAGCAUUUUAUGCGACUUAUGAACCAGGUUUUGUGUCCUUUCUUAUGCAAAUUUAUAGUUGUUUAUUUUGAUGACAUCUUGAUUUUUAGUCACAGCAAAGAAGAACAUUUACAGCAUCUUUACCAAGUCAUGACAGCCUUGUAAGAAAGUGAGCUGGUUAUUAAUCUAAAUAAAUGAAUUUAUAUGACAGAGCACGUUAUGUUUCUGGGAUUUAUUGUUAGUUCAGAAGGGAUACAUGUUGAUGAGAAGAAGGUAGAAGCAAUACAGAAUUGGCCCACUCCCAAAACUAUUUCUGAAGUUCGCGGCUUUCGUGGCCUUGGUACUUUCUAUCAACAGUUUAUCAGAAAUUUCAGCAGCAUCGUUGCCCCUAUCACAAAUUGCUUUAAGAAAGAGAGAGUACAGAAAUUUGCUUGGACUGACACAGCCAACAAGAGUUUUGAAGAGAUUAAAGAUAAGCUUACUUCUGCCCCCAUUCUUGCUCUACCCAAUUUUGAUAAACUGUUUGAGGUUGAAUGUGAUGCUUGUGGAGUUGGAAUUGGCGGAAUGUUAUCACAGUCUAAAAGGCCUAUUGCCUUCUUUAGUGAGAAAUUGAAUGAAGUUAGGAAGAAGUGGUCUACUUAUGAGCAGGAGUUAUAUGCCGUAUUCUGGGCUUUUAAAACUUAGGAGCAGUAUCUGAUGGGGCGAGAGUUUAUUAUUCACACAGAUCAUCAAUCUCUAAUCCACUUUAAAACUCAAAAACAUGUGAAUAAGAUGCAUGCUCAAUGGGCAGCUUAUUUUGGAGCCUUUCAUUAUGUCAUAAACACAUAAGGCUGGCCAUAGUAAUAAGGUGGUAGAUGUUUUGAGUAGGAGGGCUGCUCUGUUGAUUACAGUUAAUCAAGAGGUUAUAGGUUUUGAAUUUCUGAAGGAUUUGUAUGCUAUAGAUAAUGAAUUUGCUGAUAUAUGGGCUAAAGUCCAGGCUCAUCAGUCUGUUAAUGGGUUCUUAAUACAUGAUGGCUUUCUUUUUAAGGAAAACAGGUUAUGCAUUCCUUGAUCUUCUCUGUAGGAAAAACUGAUUUCAGAGGUCCAUGAAGAAGGUUUGAAUGGCCAUUUUGAGCGUGAUAAGACUAUUGUUGGUUUGAGGAGCGGUUUUACUGGCCAUAAUUAAAAAAGAAUACAGGUCGGAAGGUCCAUAAGUGCUCAGUUUGUCAAACUCAGAAGGGUCAUUCGCAGAAUAUGGGCUUAUACACUCCACUGUCUAUUCCAGCAUAUCCUUAGGAGGACUUGUCUAUGAUCUGAUUUCAUUUUUGUUGUUGUUGAUAGGUUCUGCAAAAUGGCGCAUUUCAUUCCUUGUAAGAAAACUAAUGAUGCUUCUCAUGUUGCAAAACUGUUUUUCCAGAAGAUUGUUCGCUUACAUGGCGUUUCUAAGACCAUUACUUCCAAUAGAGAUGUGAAGUUUCUAGCUCACUUCUGGGUGACUUUAUGAAAAUAUUUUGGAACUGAAUUUCGAUAAAGCAAUGAUGUCCAUCCCCAAAUUGAUGGACAAAUGGAAGUGGUAAACCGCACGCUUGGCAAUCUUCUGCGCUACAUAUGCAGUAAUAAGAAAACUGUUUAGGAUCUUACUCUUGCCCAAGCAGAAUUUGCUUACAACAGUGCUGUCCACAACUCAAAAAAGAUGUCACCCUUUGCAAUUGUGUACAGGAAAAUCUCAGUGCAUACAGUUGAUCUUAUUGCCUUUCCUACAAGUUCUCACAACAGUAUUACAGCAAGCAACUUGGCAAAACAACAUGUGGAUAUUUUCAAACAGGUACAACAAUGCCUUACAAAAGCCAAUGAAAAAUAUAAAACUACAGCUGAUAAACAUAGGAAUUUCAAUUUCGUCAAUGUCAGUGACCAAGUUAAGGUGUAUUUACGCAAUAAACGUGAUGGAGGACAGAAAAAGUUUGACUCCAAGAAGAUUGGUUCAUUCUAGAUCAUUCAGAAGAUUAAUGACAACGCUUAUGUUCUUGACCUCCCAAAUGAGAUGAAAAUUUUCAAGACGUUUAAUGUAGUGGAUCUAUUUCAGUACUACCCUGCUGAUGACAACUCGAGGUCAAGUUCUUUACAAAUGGAAGGGAAUGACAUGGAGCAACUAGCCUUGGACUUGACGGUAGACUUGGACUGGACCUAACUUUUGCUGUCAACGUCCGAUGGAGACCCAUGAUAGCUUUUCGGAAAGAAAAUUUUGAGAUACACGAAUUUCAAAAGUGUGAUAAGAGCUACGGGCCUAUCACAAAGUUCGAUAUGAAAAUUCUACCGUUUAGGGGGUCAAUUUUGCAUUUUAAUUAUUUUUUUAGAUAUUUUUGUAAUUUUGUAUAUUAGGGUUUUUUCUAUUAUAAAUAGUCUUUCCUUGGCUAUUUGAAACUCACUUUUCAAUCUUUCAAGAAUUUCAAUAAGAUUUUUCGGCUUUUAGCUUCUUUUUUCUGUUAUAUCGUCUUAGCCAAACGUUAUUGGUUAAAACUUUUGACAGAGUCUAAUAAGUCCUUUAUUACUAAAGCUCUAAACCAUUCCUUACAUUCUCUAUACUCGUCAAUACUGACUUGAGUAUCGGAGUGACUGCCGUGAGUAUCCACCACCACCUCAUGUUUUCUUCCUUACAGGUUCUAGCCAAUCAUAGCCCAAUCCCAUUUCGGCCACGUCAUCAAUCUAAUCUCAGCGACAUUAAUUUUAAUAUAUUUUCAAAAUCAAUAAACACCCAUUAAAUAUAAAACAUUCAAGAGAUUAAACUAACAAAAUAACUAUUUAGUAGAUUUUUUUUAAAUUUUAGUGAUAUUUUUAUGUAUUUUUUAAAAUAUAUAGAGACUUAUCAAUGAGUUUCCUCUUACCAUAAAGAUAAAAUGCAUCUGACUUAGUUGUUUUCAACAAUAAUAAUGACUCGCGGUUGUCGAAGCCGGUCAAAAAUAACCUUUCUGGUUAUCAAUAAUUUACAACUGCAGAUAGUGGUGAAAGGAUCGAAUCCACAGAGAAUUGAAUACUUACCUAUUUUUCUUAUCAAGACCAAGAGAAUUAACUGAAACAAAAAUAAACUGAAACAAAAAUAAAACUGAAAGAGAAAUAAACUUAAAGCAAAUAUAACUGAAAGAGAAAUAAACUGAAACGAGAUAAAAUUGAAAGCAAAAAUAACUGAAAUGAGAUAAAACUGAAAUGAGAUAAAACUGAAACGAGAUAAAACUGAAACCAAAUAACUGAAAGUAAAAUGGGGGGUUUUGAGAUUGAUUUAAUUAAGCAACUACUGAAAGCAAUAAAGUAAAACGAAUAAUAAAAAUAAAUGAGAAAUAAAUAAUAAGAAAGCUCUAGUUGAAGAAUUGGAUCCACUUCAAUUGUUGGGAUUGGUCAUUGACACUUAGUUUCUUUUGAUUGAUUCAAUAGAUUAGUUAUGGAGAUGGAAGACGCUUCUCACCACCAUGUCUCUCCUUAUGAUUAAACCAAUUAGAGAACGUCCUCUAAUUAUUUACUAAUUAACAAAUUGUCAAGGAACGUCCUUGGACUUUAGGCAUCAAAACAAUUGUUAAUUGCAUGAAGAGAUAGAGAGAUCCAAUCCUAACUACUCAAACGCAUGAGAUAUCGUUAGAUCAUACAAUUUCCUUAGUUUUUACACCAAGUGUUCUUAUGUUUGAAUAAUCCAAGCAAUUACGGACUUAAAUCAUCCAAACUAACAUAUUAUUACUUUGCAAUCAAGAAUCAACGUAGAUCUAAACAACAAAGCAAUAUUGAAAUCAAGCAUGAAAUUGCACAAAUAUUGAACAACCAAAAGUUAAACAAUGUUUGAUCAAGUCUCCCAAUUCAUAAAACAACUAAAGCAUCACCUAAUCUUCAACUAGAAUAAAAGGUUUCAGCCUCUCAUGGCUGAAACAAAACCAAAAAUAAAAGAAAGAAGAAAGGUAGAAGAAGAGAUGUGAAUCCCGUAGGUGUCUCCAAGGUGGUGUGUAAAAGCUGUGUGGAGGCUCCUUAUGUGUCUUCUUAUAGUUGAAAGUGUUGCCCUAGGUCUCCUUGCUAUCCAAGAGACUGCCCAAGAGGUGCUUGCUGCCCAAGUUGCAUCUGAAAAGGAAAGAAUCGCGUUUGGUAUUUCAGAAGAGGAAGGAUGCGCGCCUUGGCCUUCAGAAGGCAAGUGGCGUGCGCAUGGACUGCAGAAGAGGAAGGAGAGCGUGCAGUCAUUAAUGUGCAGAGGUGGAAAGAAAUCUGUCCAGUCUUUCCUUUUUAGGUGGAGCCUUCGUUUGAAUUUUGAAUGCUGAAUGAAGAAGAGGCAAGUGCAUCUCCUUGAAAUCUUGCUGCCUAAAUAGGAAGAUUUGACUGCUGCAGUGUGUGCAUAUCUUUGAAUGAGGAAAGAAAGAUCUGCGAUUUGAAUUUCAAAUAAUUUUCUGACUGAGCUUUCCUUAUUUGCUUUUGCUUCUGCACUUCCUUUAUUUGAGGACUUUCAUUUUCUGAAAACUUUCCUUAUUUGACACUUUCCAUAAUUAGCUUUACCUUCUGAAUAAGGAAAGAAGAAUCUGCAAUUUGAAUUUCAAAAAAUCUAUUGAUUGCGCUUUCCUUUUCUGGCACUUUCCUUAUUAGAAAACUUUACUUAUUUAGCACUUUUCAUAUUUGAAAACUUUCUUUUUUUGGCACUUUCCAUAUUUGACACUUUUUGGCAGUUUUAAGAGUAUUUUCUCCAGAUUGUCUUUUUACACCUAAUAUCUGCAAAAUAUGAUUAAAACCACAAAAUUAGGUAGAAAAGGUGUAAAUAAACAUCAAUAAUAUCAUGAUAAAAUGGGCUAAAUUAUGUUCUAUCAAAUAACUAAACAACUUAGAUAUUACUAUUUAAAUAUGAAACAGCUUAGAUAGAGACCCAUUUAUAAGAAUUAAACUCUUUUUUGUAUAUGAUUUUUCGAACUCAAAUCGUGUCCUUCUCUUUUAACUAUCAGGAUAAGAAAGACGGAAAAUAAAAGUAAAAAACUAAGACCCAAUGCCACACGCUUAAAAUAAAAUAUUAAAAUUAAAUCAAAACGGGAAAUGCCAAUGGAAUAUUUGAAUCUUUUGUGUAAUAAACAACUAUUCUGAAGGGCAAUUUUGGUAACAUAUCCGGUAAUUAUAUGGUCUUGGGGUAAUAAAAUUCAACAUAAACUCUCACACCCAAAGCAAUUUUGGUAACAUAUUCAGUAUUUAUAUGGUCUUGGGGUAAUAAAAUUCAACAUAAACUCUCACACUCAAAGCCGCUUGUUUGCUCUAAAGAAGACUUGCCAUUAAUGGAAGCCAAAGAAUUUAUCCACCUCUUUAAUUCCUGCUGGUUUGAGAUGGAAAUUCUCGAGAAUUAAUCACGCUUAUUGAAAUCAUCAGAUGCUGAUGCCAACCCAGUUCACCAAAAUCAGGAAGAAGCAUCAAAACCAGAGCUUUACAGAGUGCCAACGAUUAUUUCAAGGUCCAUGAGUGAUCAGUUGUGGCCCAAAGCAAGCUUCGGCUCUGGUUUAUCUCUCUCUCCGGACUCAGUCCUCCCCACGUCAAAGCUCCAAACAAUCCUUUUAGACAUGGAGAUAGAAGAAGACGAAAUACAAACACAAAGACCAUAUGUACAAAAAUCGCAUACGAGGAAGACGAGAAGUAGGAGACCAGAGAAGAGAACAUUGAGCAAAAGUCUAUCAGAAUUGGAAUUUGAAGAGUUGAAAGGGUUUAUGGAUUUGGGAUUUGUGUUUUCUGAGGAAGACAAGGAUUCAAGCUUAGUUUCAAUAAUUCCAGGGUUGCAAAGACUUGGAAAAAAAGAUGGCAAAGAAGAGAGUGGCGGUGUUGAUGAAGCCACAGUUUCAAGGCCAAUGCGGUCCUAGUGAAAAAAGCUAACGGAAAGUGGAGAAUGUGCAGAUUUCACUGACCUAAAUAAAGCAUAUCCAAAAGAUCAUUACCUAUUGUCGUCCAUCAACAGAUUAGUGGACUCGACCUUAAGUCAUACGGUAGUCUCUUUCCUUGAUAUUAUCUCAGGAUAUUAAUCAAAUCAUGUUGGAUACUGAGAACGCAGAAAAGAUCGCAUUUAUAACAGACAAAGGAGUUUACUGCUACAAGAUAAUCCCUUUUAAUUUAAAAAUGCAGGAGCCACGUACCAAAGGUUGGUGUCAGGGAUCUUUAAGGACAUAGUGGGAUCAACCACCGAAGUAUACUUAGACGACAUGGUGGUAAAAAACUUAUCAUUGGAAGAACACUCGGAGGAUAUUCGGAGAGCCUUUGAUGUCUUGGACAAGAUGGGCAUGAAACUGAACCCGGAAAAGUGUACCUUUAGGGUAAAGGCUGGAAAGUUCCUAAGAUAUAUCAUCUUAGAAAGGGGUAUAGAAGUGAAUACUGAGAAAAUCAGCGCUAUCCAAAACAUGGAAGCACCCAAAACUAUCAACGGAAUACAGAGGUUAAAUGGGUGAGUCAUUGCCCUAGGACGAUUCAUAUCAUUCUCGGUCAGAAGGUGUCUCCCAUUCUUUAAAGUCUUAAAAGGCAAAUGUAAGUUUGAAUGGGGGAAGAGUGUGCAGACACUCAGUCCGACGUCAAGACUCACCCUUCCCUCAAAUGGGCAAGUCUCGGCACAAGGUUACUAUUAACAUACAUAAUCCAGUAUAUACCCAUUGCACCUAUAAUCGUGGGAUUGUCAACUUAUUAGCUGGCAAUAUCCCUUAUUAAGCAGACAGCCACAUCAUCGCUGAAUUAUUAGAAAAUUCUAUAUUUAUCACCAUCUUCCUACAAUAUAAAAGAAGAACGAUCACAGCGGCAAAUGUACGUUAAUAAGCAAUUUCUUGCAUUCUUUAUACUCGUUGAUACUGACUUGAGUGUCGGAGUGACUACCGUGGGCACCCACUACCACCUCAUGUUUUCUUUCUUACAGGUUCUAGCCAAUCACAACUCAGUCCCAUUUCGAACACAUCAUCAAUCUAAACUCAACAAUAUCAAUUUUAAUAGAUUUUACAAAAUCAAUAGAGACCCAUUAAAUAUAAAACAUUCAAAGGUUCAAAUUAACAGAAAAACUAAUUAGUAGAUUUUUUUAAAAAUUUUAGUGAUAUUUUUAUGUAUUUUUCAAAAUCAAUAGAGAUCCAUUAAAUAUAAAACAUUCAAGAGUUCAAACUAACAAAAUAACUAAUUAGUAGAUUUUUUUUUAAAUUUUAGUGAUAUUUUUAUAUAUUUUUUAAAAUCAAUAGAAACCUAUUAAUAAGCUCCCUUAUACCAUAGAAAUAAAAUGCAUCUGACUCGGUUAUUUUCAACAACGAUAACUAAACAACGUAGAUAUUACCUGUAACGACCCGAAAACCGGACUACCACCGGCGCUAUGAUCCAGACCGGUUUAAGGCCGCCGAAACCCGUAGCAAGCCUAACAUACAACCUGUAUACCUGAUAAAUCCCAUACAUGAUCAACAUAUACAUAAAACUUAAAACUUUCUCUUUCAUUUACCAAACUCAACCUGUGCAUGCACAACUCAUAAGUAUAACCAUCAACCCCACACUGGAGUCCUCAUCAAUGCUCUAAUGGGGUAACAUAACAUAUAUUAAAUUUGGUUUACAUAAACAUUGUUAAAACAUUUUAUAGAUCAUGUAUCAAAGGGAAUAACCAUACACAUAGGGUCAAGCACAAUUCUAAUCCUCAACAUCAAUAUUACAUGACUAAUCAAUACUUUACAAUUCAUCUAUUUCAAAAAAAAAAAAAAAAAACUUUACAAUUCAUCAUGCCCACAUCUAACUAUUACAUAAACAUAACUUUACUCUUCUUGACCUCUUGGCCUAUCCCGUACCUGCAUACCUGGGGGAUUAGGGAAAUGGGGUGAGCUACUAGAACCCAGUGAGCAGAAUAAUAAAACAGUUAAAACAUAUGCUAUAAUGGAAUGCAUCACAUCACAGACAAAUCACAUCAAGGAUGGACUUGUCACCAGUAGUCCUCUACAUAGUCCAACUGUGCCAGGGGUGUAGAAUGGGCCUCACUGGUCUUUCUCUUACAUUACAUAAUAUAACAUUCCAACUGUGCCAUAGGCGUAGAAUGGGCCUCACUGGUCUUUCUCUUACAUUGUGCCAUGGGCGUAGAAUGGGUCUCACCGGUCUUCCAUACCGUAUCAUCAUCAUAUCAUAUCAUACGAGGACUAAAGGAUCAUCCAACAUCCAUCCACAUCAACAUCAAAUAAUGCAAUGCAACAUAUUCGUGAAUUCUAAUGCAAGCAUCCUAAUGUAUCUCAUGGCAUUCAUGAUGCGUGAAUCAUGUCAAAACUUUCAUUAUUUGCUUUGAAAUGUAAAGAGUCAUUCUACUCACCUCAGGCUAGCUCUGACAAGACACUGAAGCAACUGUCUCACUGCUGGGGUCCUCGGUUCCUCGGGUCCGAACCUACACAGGUGGACUCAAAUGAUGAACCAAACAUACUUGAACAUGACUCUAAAAUACUCCCCAAAAACCCCCUAAAACACAUUAAAACAAUCAUACAAAUCAUGCAAAGGAAGGCUGAACAGGGCACUUUCGGCGGCAGGUUCGGUGGCCAAAAGUCCCUCCAAAGCCGAAAGUCAUGCACCUUCGGCGGCACUUUCGGCGGCCGAAGGUUCCUUCCAGAGAUGAAACUCAUGCAUGUUCGGCGGCACCUUCGGCGGCCGAAACUCCCUUCUAGAGCCGAAAGUCCACUUUCGGGGGCAGGGUUCGGCAGCCAAAGGCUUGCCUCCACAGGCAGGUUCGGCGGCCGAAAGUCCCUUCGGCUGCCGAACCUGAGUUCUUCCAAAGGGCAGAACUCAGCCUCCACAAUGCACAUUUGUCUCCCAAACCAUUAAAUCAUGCAUUUACCUAUUCUACAACAAGCAAACUCAAGCCAACAAGUAUAUAGGGGUCUCAAACUAACCUAAACCCCAACUAAAACACAUCAAACAUACAUAUACAACACACAUUGCCCAUAUGCUCAUCAUUAAUAAAAAAACUCAAUAUUAACCUAAACAUGCAUUUCUACCCCAUAAACUUUCAUAAAACUUGUUUAAAACAUGAAAUGAGCUAAGGAUCUACUCUUACCUCUUGAAGAUCGAGAGGAGAGGCGAUCCAACUCGGAGAUAGGAGAGAUCGAGCUCCUUGGGUCUCCAAGCUCUAAAACUUGCUCUUUUGCUCAAAUGUCUUCAAACCAAGAUAAAACUUAUUAAAACUCGAAAGAUUUGAGGAAAAACACCAAAAAUCAACCAUGGGAGAGCAUGGACUCACCGUUGGCCGAAAAUGGGGAGAAAGCUCGCCCGUUUCGGCCAUGGAGCCCUUAUAUAGGGGCUGGCCAGACCACCCUUCGGCAGCCUAAAGUGCCUUCAAAACUCAUGCAAGUUCGGCGGCCAAACAUAGGGUUCGGCGGCCGAACCUGAGCCACUUUCGGAAGCCUAACUUGCUCCCCUAAACUAUCCCAUGUUCGGCGGCCGAACCUGGAAAUGUCUCCAUGGUCUUUUUCAUUAAAAACUCAGUUUCUUUCUUACUUAAAAAUCAUAAAAUACAUUAAAACAUUUUAUAAAAACAUUAUUUUACCGUUCUAGAGGUUUCCGACAUCCGAGAUUCCACCGGACGGUAGGAAUUCCGAUACCGGAGUCUAGCCUGGUAUUACAUUAUCAUUCAAAUAUAAAACUUACAUGUUGAUAACAGUCAUACCAAUGAUUUAAUUCUAAUUCAAUAGGUUGCAAAUACUUAAUUAUAUUUAAGAUAAAAAUAAAAAAAUCAAAAUUUUAAAAUUUAGAGACAGAAUGGCCGGUUAUUUUUAAGAACAAUAGCUAAAAAAAAUUUGAUAUUACUAUUUGAAUUUAAAACCGACACGUUGAUACUCAAAAUUUUAAUAGCCAUAUAAAAGAUAUUUUAAAAGGUAUUUAAUCUUCAUUUCUGUCAACUCCCAUCAUCUUUCUUUAGCUGAAUGCAUUUAUUUCUCUGAUACUCUCUUUGCAAUUAUGAAGUAUGGCUAAACAAUAUUCUAUUUAUAUUGAACCUAAUGCUUUAAUAGUUUGGCUUAUGGGGAAAUACACUUUAAAACUUUUGACAUGUUAAUUUUUUUUAAAAUAGAGGACUAAAAAUUUGAGAGUAGAAUUCGAGACUUUUCAAAUGCACUUUAUCAUCGGAUUAAGUCUGUAAAUACGACACGUUAACUUUUAUCAAUUCAAUUUUUACCCAUACUAUUAUUUGCGAAUAGAAAAAAUAUUAUUUUUAUUUUUUAUAUGAUUUUUUGAACUUAAAUCGUGUUCUCUUUUAACUAUAUUGAAUAAGGAACACGGAAAAUAAAAAUAAAAAUAAAAAAUAAAAACCAAAUGCCACACGAUCAAAAGAAAAUGUUAAAAUUAAAUCAAAACGUGGGAAUAUCAAUGGAAUAUUUGAAUCUUUUGUGUAAUAAACAAGUAAUCUGAAGGGCAAUUUUGGUAACAUGUGCAGUAUUUGUAUGGUCUUGGAGUAAUAAAAUUCAACAUAAACUCUCACACUCAAAGCAAUUUUGAUAACAUAUCCAGUAUUUAUAUGGUCUUGGGGUAAUAAAAUUCAACAUAAACUCUCACACUCAAAGCCGCUUGUUUGCUCUAAAGAAGACUCGCCAUUAAUGGAAGCCAAAGAUUUUAUCCACCUCUUUAAUUCCUGCUGGUUUGAGAUGGAAAUUCUCAAGAAUCAAUCACGUUUAUUGAAAUCAUCAGAUGCUGAUGCCAACCCAGUUCACCAAAAUCAGGAAGAAGCAUCAAAACCAGAGCUUUACAGAGUGCCAACGAUUAUUUC
rnacentral:lncRNA from 1 species